AUUCCGCUGAAUUUAAGCAUAUAAGUAAGUGGUGGAAAUUAAACCAACUGGGAUCUCUUCAGUAAUUGCGCAUGAACCAGGAUAUGCUUAGCUUGGCAAAUGGAGCUGCUGGCUCUGAAUUGUAUUGUGGGAAUGUAUUACCAACAGAGGUGCAGGUGUCAGCCAUUUGAAAGAAAGCAUCAAUGAGGGUGAGAGUCCUGUUUGUCAUGUGCAGCCUUCUGUGCACGGUGUAUAUUUGCUGAGUCACACUCCUUGGCAUUGGAAUGCAAAGUGGGUGGUAAGUUUCAUGCAAAGGUAAAUAUGCAAUUGAGACUGAUAGCGCACAAGUACCAUGAGGGACAUAUGAAAAGGACUUUGAAAAGAGAAUUAAAUGAGUUUGUAUUUGCUAAACACAAAGUAAACAGACUUGAUUUCCUCAGUGAGAUUGUAGUGCUUGCUUAACAAUGGGUUUUGGCUGCAAGUGCAAUAAUUCUUGCUUUGUGUGCCAGUUUUUAUGUGGACAUUUGAUUACCUUUGCACAUGAAUGGUAAUUUUCCUGCGGGGUGUGGAUUGCAUAUGCAUGUAAUGAUUUGCAUGUUUGUUAAAUGUGUCUGGUGUAUUUGUUUGUGUCCUUGUCCUUGAGGUUGCUUUCUCCCUUGGGCUUACAUGCCCUGGCACACACAUUCUGGCAAAAUGCUUCUGCUUGACCCGUCUUGAAAAU
rnacentral:rRNA from 1 species